CUGCAGCCGCGCUUGAUGACUGAGGGGCCAGCGACGGCAGCGACCACCAGAUGACCAUCGAGGACCGCGCACAAAUUUCAGUGCAUUGCAUCACAGGUCCGUCAUGUGAGACGUCCAAGUUGAGCGAGCUGAUGCCCAGUUUUGCCCCGGGGUAGCGAGAUUCUGCGUUCACGACGUCGAGGUUGGAACCUGAAACGUCCUCUCGUGGUGCCGGCUACUUGGAUGAGGGUCUAGCGUCCAGCCCAGUGCAGCGUUGGGGACUGACAAUCGCAUCUACCAAACAAAGAGGAGGGCAGGGAGCGGCGUCACUGUUUCAGCAGCACGUGUGUGUUUUGAUGACCUGAGCCUGCUUUAGGCCAUCGAUGCGGCGGCGGCUUGAGUCUUUGUGCCGAUGCCGCCAUUUUACUAGCCCUGCGCCGUCCGCGCAUCCCAAAAGCAUCCGCCUGA